UACGGAGGAUGCGAGCGUUAUCCGGAUUUAUUGGGUUUAAAGGGUGCGUAGGCGGAUUUGUAAGUCAGCGGUAAAAAUGCGGUGCUCAACGCCGUAUCGCCGUUGAAACUGCAGGUCUUGAGUGAGCGAGAAGUAUGCGGAAUGCGUGGUGUAGCGGUGAAAUGCUUAGAUAUUGCGCAGAACUCCGAUUGCGAAGGCAGCAUACCGGCGGCGAUCUGACGCUGAGGCACGAAAGCGUGGGUAUCGAACAGG
rnacentral:rRNA from 1 species